rnacentral:rRNA from 1 species
GACGAACGCUGGCGGCGUGCUUAACACAUGCAAGUCGAACGGAAAGGCCCUGCUUUUGUGGGGUGCUCGAGUGGCGAACGGGUGAGUAACACGUGAGUAACCUGCCCUUGACUUUGGGAUAACUUCAGGAAACUGGGGCUAAUACCGGAUAGGAGCUCCUGCUGCAUGGUGGGGGUUGGAAAGUUUCGGCGGUUGGGGAUGGACUCGCGGCUUAUGAGCUUGUUGGUGGGGUAGUGGUGUACCAAGCUUUUGACGGGUAGCCGGCCUGAGAGGGGGAACGGCCACCAUAGGACUGAGAUACGGCCCAGACUCGAACGGGAGGCAGCAGUGGAGAAUAUUACAGAGUAGGGGGGAGCGUGAUAUGACAACGCCGCGUGCGGGAUGACGGGCUGCGGGUUGUGAACCGCUGUGGCCGGAGACGAGGCGUGAGUGACGGUAAUGGGUAAAGAAGCACCGGCUAACUACGUG